rnacentral:rRNA from 1 species
CCUACGGGCGGCAGCAGUGGGGGAUAUUGCACAAUGGGGGGAACCCUGAUGCAGCGACGCCGCGUGGGUGAAGAAGCGCCUCGGCGCGUAAAGCCCUGUCAGCAGGGAAGAAAAUGACGGUACCUGAAGAAGAAGCCCCGGCUAACUACGUGCCAGCAGCCGCGGUAAUACGUAGGGGGCAAGCGUUAUCCGGAUUUACUGGGUGGAAAGGGGGCGCAGACGGCGAUGCAAGCCAGGAGUGAAAGCCCGGGGCCCAACCCCGGGACUGCUCUUGGAACUGCGUGGCUGGAGUGCAGGAGGGGUAGGCGGAAUGCCUGGUGUAGCGGUGAAAUGCGUAGAGAGCAGGCGGAACACCGGUGGCGAAGGCGGCCUGCUGGACUGCAACUGACGUUGAGGCCCGAAAGCGUGGGGAGCAAACAGGAUUAGAUACCCGAGUAGUC